rnacentral:tRNA from 1 species
ACCGCGACAGCUCAGUUGGUAGAGCAUCUGCCUGGUAUGCGGAGUGUCGUCAGUUCGAAUCCGGCUCGCGGCG